UACGGAGGGGGUUAGCGUUGUUCGGAAUUACUGGGCGUAAAGCGCGCGUAGGCGGACCAGAAAGUUGGGGGUGAAAUCCCGGGGCUCAACCCCGGAACGGCCUCCAAAACUCCUGGUCUUGAGUUCGAGAGAGGUGAGUGGAAUUCCGAGUGUAGAGGUGAAAUUCGUAGAUAUUCGGAGGAACACCAGUGGCGAAGGCGACUUACUGGCUCGAUUCUGACGCUGAGGUGCGAAAGUGUGGGGAGCAAACAGG
rnacentral:rRNA from 1 species